AUUGAACGCUGGCGGCAGGCUUAACACAUGCAAGUCGAGCGAGCGGCGGACGGGUGAGUAUUGUCUGGGAAACUGCCUGAUGGAGGGGGAUAACUAAUGGAAACGGUAGCUAAUACCGCAUACCAUCAGAUGUGCCCAGAUGGGAUUAGCUAGUAGGGGGGGUAAUGGCUCACCUAGGCGACGAUACCUAGCUGGUCUGAGAGGAUGACCAGCAACACGGGAACUGAGACACGGUCAAGACUCUGACGGGGGGCAGCAUUGGGGAAUAUUGCACAAUGGGCGCAAGCCUGAUGCAGCCAUGCCGCGUGUGUGAAGAAGGCCUUCGGGUUGUAAAGCACUUUCAGCGAGGAGGCGUUACUCGCAGAAGAAGCACCGGCUAACUCCGUGCCAGCAGCCGCGGUAAUUC
rnacentral:rRNA from 1 species